rnacentral:rRNA from 1 species
UACGGAGGGUGCGAGCGUUAUCCGGAUUCACUGGGUUUAAAGGGUGCGUAGGUGGGAAUGUAAGUCAGUGGUGAAAUCUCUGAGCUUAACUCAGAAACUGCCAUUGAUACUAUGUUUCUUGAAUUUUCUGGAGGUCAGCGGAAUAUGUCAUGUAGCGGUGAAAUGCUUAGAUAUGACAUAGAACACCAAUUGCGAAGGCAGCUGGCUACAGGGAUAUUGACACUGAGGCACGAAAGCGUGGGGAUCAAACCGG